GAUGAACGCUGGCGGCGUGCCUAAUACAUGCAGGUCGAGCGAACGGACGAGAAGCUUGCUUCUCUGAUGUUAGCGGCGGACGGGUGAGUAACACGUGGAUAACCUACCUAUAAGACUGGGAUAACUUCGGGAAACCGGAGCUAAUACCGGAUAAUAUUUUGAACCGCAUGGUUCAAAAGUGAAAGACGGUCUUGCUGUCACUUAUAGAUGGAUCCGCGCUGCAUUAGCUAGUUGGUAAGGUAACGGCUUACCAAGGCAACGAUGCAUAGCCGACCUGAGAGGGUGAUCGGACACACUGGAACUGAGACACGGUCCAGACUCCUACGGGAGGCAGCAGUAGGGAAUCUUCCGCAAUGGGCGAAAGCCUGACGGAGCAACGCCGCGUGAGUGAUGAAGGUCUUCGGAUCGUAAAACUCUGUUAUUAGGGAAGAACAUAUGUGUAAGUAACUGUGCACAUCUUGACGGUACCUAAUCAGAAAGCCACGGCUAACUACGUG
rnacentral:rRNA from 1 species